rnacentral:rRNA from 1 species
UACGUAGGGGGCAAGCGUUGUCCGGAUUAAUUGGGAGUAAAGAGUGUGUAGGCGGCAAGGUAGGUAGGUUGUGAAAACUGGAGGCUCAACCUUCAGAGGUCGACCGAAACCAUCUGGCUAGAGUCCGGGAGAGGAGAGUGGAAUUCCUGGUGUAGCGGUGAAAUGCGCAGAUAUCAGGAAGAACACCCGUGGCGAAGGCGGCUCUCUGGGACGGUACUGACGCUGAGACGCGAAAGCGUGGGGAGCGAACAGG